UGAACGCUAGCUACAGGCUUAACACAUGCAAGUCGAGGGGCAGCAUUUUAGUUUGCUUGCAAACUGAAGAUGGCGACCGGCGCACGGGUGAGUAACACGUAUCCAACCUGCCGAUAACUCCGGAAUAGCCUUUCGAAAGAAAGAUUAAUACCUGAUGGUAUGAUGAGAUUGCAUGAUAGCAUCAUUAAAGAUUUAUCGGUGUACGAUGGGGAUGCGUUCCAUUAGGUAGUAGGCGGGGUAACGGCCCACCUAGCCUACGAUGGAUAGGGGUUCUGAGAGGAAGGCCCCCACAUUGGAACUGAGACACGGUCCAAACUCCUACGGGAGGCAGCAGUGAGGAAUAUUGGUCAAUGGACGAGAGUCUGAACCAGCCAAGUAGCGUGAAGGAUGAAGGUCUUACGGAUUGUAAACUUCUUUUAUAAGGGAAUAAACCCUCCCACGUGUGGGAGCUUGUAUGUACCUUAUGAAUAAGCAUCGGCUAACUCCGUG
rnacentral:rRNA from 1 species